rnacentral:rRNA from 1 species
GAUGAACGCUAGCGGCAGGCCUAAUACAUGCAAGUCGAGCGGCAAGUCGAGGAGUAAUCUGAGACCUAGAGCGGCGUACGGGUGCGUAACGCGUAUGCAACCUACCUCAUACAGGGGGAUAGCCCGGAGAAAUCUGGAUUAAUACCCCAUAGCACAGCACAAGUGCAUCUGCGAGCUGUUAACGAUUCAUCGGUAUGAGAUGGGCAUGCGUCUGAUUAGCUAGUUGGCGGUGUAACGGACCACCACGGCGACGAUCAGUAGGGGUUCUGAGAGGAAGGUCCCCCACACUGGCACUGGGAUACGGGCCAGACUCCUACGGGAGGCAGCAGUAGGGAAUAUUGGGCAAUGGACGAGAGUCUGACCCAGCCAUGCCGCGUGCAGGAAGAAGGCCUUCUGGGUUGUAAACUGCUUUUAUCUGGGAAGAAAAGGCCCAUGCGUGGGACAUUGCCGGUACCAGAUGAAUAAGCACCGGCUAACUCCGUGCCAGCCGCCGCCGUAA